rnacentral:tRNA from 1 species
AGUCGCGCCUCGGGGCCUCGGGGCCGGGCUCCUGUCGGGCUGGAGAGGUCGAAAGCCGGAGAGCGCUGAAGGCUGA